rnacentral:rRNA from 2 species
AAAUUGAAGAGUUUGAUCAUGGCUCAGAUUGAACGCUGGCGGCAGGCCUAACACAUGCAAGUCGAACGGUAACAGGAAUCAGCUUGCUGAUUCGCUGACGAGUGGCGGACGGGUGAGUAAUGUCUGGGAAACUGCCUGAUGGAGGGGGAUAACUACUGGAAACGGU